AGUCCAGAAUUCGAAUGGGGUUGGAUUCAACUGUACCCGGUUAUCCAGGCCGCCCCCGCCGGAUGAGGCAGGCAUCCAGUGUCCCGUACCCGCACGUGGCGAGGUGGCGAAAAGCUCUGGAGCACGGGACAGCGCACUUCCCCCCUAGUAGAAACGUUGCGACCCGUUGGGAGGCGGUCUAAGGCCCGGGCAGGAGCCCGCGCGUCCCCUGACGUCUGGCUGGGGCUCGCGCGGACGCCCGGUGACCCGGCCGGUCGCCCGACGGUAUGACCAGAGGGGUCUAUCCGCUGAAUUGUUUGAAAGGGAAGCGUCCGGCCCCGCGGCCUAGGGCUGGAGGUCGCGGGUGCCCUCGGACCGGAUCAGCACCCCGGUCAGCGGCGCCCACCUUCGGAUGUUCUCCCG
rnacentral:rRNA from 1 species